rnacentral:rRNA from 1 species
UUAAGUGAAUAAGGGCGUACGGUGGAUGCCUAGGCACUUGGAACUGAAGAAGGACGCAACAAACGGCGAAACGCGACGGGGAGUGGUACGUACACAAAGAUCCGUCGAUAUCCGAAUGGGGAAACCCGGCAGCAGUAAUGAGCUGUCACCCAUGAGUGAAUACAUAGCUCAUGAGGGAGGUACCCGGAGAACUGAAACAUCUAAGUAUCCGGAGGAAAAGAAAAUAAGAAUGAUUCCGUAAGUAGCGGCGAGCGAACGCGGAGGAGCCCAAACCAGAUCUUGAUCUGGGGUUGUAGGACCACGAAAUGGCAAGAGCAUGGCUAAGAGAACGGCAUUGAAAGGCCGACCGGAGAGGGUGCAAGUCCCGUAACUGAAAGUCUAGCGAAGCCUAGUGGUAUCCUGAGUACGGCGAGACACGAGAAAUCUUGUCGGAAGCAGGCGGGACCAUCCGUCAAGGCUAAAUAUACCCAAGUGACCGAUAGUGAACCAGUACCGUGAGGGAAAGGUGAAAAGAACCGCGGGAGCGGAGUGAAAUAGAACCUGAAACCGUAUGCUUACAAGAAGUCAGAGCCCGUUAAAGGGUGAUGGCGUGCCUUUUGUAGAAUGAACCGGCGAGUUACGUUAUCGUGCGAGGUUAAGUAGAAGAUACGGAGCCGAAGCGAAAGCGAGUCUUAAUAGGGCGACAGUACGAUGAUGUAGACCCGAAACCGUGUGAUCUAGCCAUGACCAGGUUGAAGUUCAGGUGAAACUGAAUGGAGGACCGAACCGACCCCCGUUGAAAAGUUGGCGGAUGAGUUGUGGCUAGGGGAGAAAUUCCAAUCGAACACGGAUAUAGCUGGUUCUCCCCGAAAUAGCUUUAGGGCUAGCGUCGAGGCAGAGUCGCAUGGAGGUAGAGCACUGAAUGUACGAUGGCCCCAUCCCGGGGUACUGAGUAUAAUCAAACUCCGAAUGCCAUGCAGACGUACUCGGCAGUCAGACUGUGGGUGAUAAGGUCCAUGGUCAAAAGGGAAACAGCCCAGACCGCCAGUUAAGGUCCCAAAAUGUAUGCUAAGUGGAAAAGGAUGUGGGGAUGCACAGACAACUAGGAGGUUGGCUCAGAAGCAGCCAUCCUUCAAAGAGUGCGUAACAGCUCACUAGUCGAGUGACCCUGCGCCGAAAAUGUACCGGGGCUAAGCAUACUACCGAAGCUGCGGAUUCAACUUUAGAGUUGAGUGGUAGGGGAGCGUUGCAUGCACGUAGAAGCCGUACCGUAAGGAGCGGUGGAGAGCAUGGAAGAGAGAAUGCCGGUGUGAGUAGCGAGAUGUAGGUGAGAAUCCUACACACCGAUAGCCCAAGGAUUCCAGGGGAAGGUUCGUCCGCCCUGGGUAAGUCGGGACCUAACGCGAGGCCGAAAGGCGUAGUGGAUGGAAAACAGGCAGAUAUUCCUGUACCCGCGAUGGAAAUGAAGGAAUGACGGAGAAGGCUAGUGUGAGCCACUGAACGGAUUGUGGUCAAAGCAUAUAGCAGGCUGACAGUGAAAUGCGUCAGCGGGAUGUAAGAUGUGACAGGUAAGGGAACGUCCUUGGACAAGUACUGAAGCACAUGAUGCCAGCUUCCAAGAAAAGUUUCUAGUGAUAAUUCCAUAGCGGCCCGUACCAAAACCGACACAGGUGGGCAAGGAGAGAAUCCUGAGGUGAGCGAGAGAACUGUUGCCAAGGAACUCGGCAAAAUGACUCCGUAAGUUAGCGAUAAGGAGUGCUCUUGUAAAAGAGAGCCGCAGUGAAGAGGCCCAAGCGACUGUUUAACUAAAACACAGCUCUCUGCAAAGUCGCAAGACGAAGUAUAGGGGGUGACGCCUGCCCGGUGCUGGAAGGUUAAGAGGAUUUGUCAUCCGCAAGGAGAAGCAAUGAAUUGAAGCCCCAGUGAACGGCGGCCGUAACUAUAACGGUCCUAAGGUAGCGAAAUUCCUUGUCGGGUAAG